rnacentral:lncRNA from 9 species
GCACCUCUGAUAUCUGUUUACAUAAAUAUAAACUGGUUCAUCUUAUUUAAAUUUGUUGGCCAUGAAAUUUUGCUUUAAUAUGUUUAUAUGAUAAUUAAAAACAAUUUGUCAUAUCCACAUAGUUUCUGCAUGAUUGGCAUUAAAGCUUUUACUGCCGGUAUUUAAUGAGAGUUUUGGAUUAGCUAUGUCAGAAGUACUUUCCAAUUAAACAACAAAACAUGAGUUGACUGUAGCAGAAUGAACUUCGUUAAAAUACUUAAGAUUUUGCUUUCCAAAGCGUUAUCUGAAAACUCAUAUAAUUUAACAAGUUUAGCUCUCGCAAAAGGAGAAAGGAAUAUGAAGCUGAAAAGAACUUCCUUACCCUUUGCUAGUUAAGGACAUCCUCCCUUCCAGGUGCACCUUAGUUUCAGCUUCCUUGAAACGUUCACGCCUUCUCCUCUAUGCUCCUCAUGCACAGUGUUUCCUCAAAAGAGAGUAUUUUUUUUUCCCAGUACCUCGCGGAAUUUCAUUAAAUUCAUCUUGGUGUCACAGUCCUCUGCUGAGGGAGACAAUUUCAGGAGGAAGGAGUCACCAUCCUGCCGCUUGGGCCCCCUACGCUCUUCGGGAGUGGAUUCUCCUCAAAGUCGGUGCCAAGUCUUCGGCUCUCAGUACUGGAGUAAAGUUCCGAGCUGCGUGGCGGGUGCGCAAGACACGCGCGGAGGGAUUCCGGCGCAUGUGCUGAGGUCGCGGGUGCGCAGCUUGUGGCGGCAGAAUUCAAUAUUGGAAGAAAAAAAAGGAAAAAGGAAAGUUUAGAAGCCCUCCCAGACUCCAGAAGGCUGAAGCCAAGAGGAUCCUAAGGAGGUAAGUUAUAGGCAAGAAUGUGUACUGAGGGCAACUGAAAAUUGGACAGAUUGAGGCAUGUUUGGAAAGUUUGGGUGUCUACUCGCCAUGCCUUAGCUCAGAGACCUUCUGGCUCUUCCUUGAACCCCAUAUUAACUCUGAUUGACUGCUGGACUCUUCUGUGAGAUAAAAAGAAUGUUUCCACCCUCCAUGAUGUGGUUCAUUCGUUUUUAAACCAAGGUUCUCAGCCGCACCCUUUGGAUCUUUCAGGAAGACAGGCAGAGCAUUGCUUGAAAAGGAUAUUGAGCUGAAAUGGUCUGAAAUAAGAAAAGGUUGUCCACAGUGGGUUUUUAGGUAGAUGGGGUCUGUUGCAAUCCUUCUGUAGAGGAUGUGGAUUUGGGGGGACUUCCCUGGCUUUGACCAUCCAGAAGGUAAAAUCAAAUUGAAGACAGGGUCUGAUCCCUCCAGGAUCAGAGCCCAGGUUUCUGUACCUGGUACGCCAUGGUUCUCACCCACAGUGUGCUAAGUACUCCUGGAGGUGCCUACAGUGUGCUCAGUACCCCCCUAGGUGGAUAACGUGAGCCUGCUGGGAUUUGCUUCUGUGGUUCCAUGUAUAUGUUUGAUGCAAAAAGAAGCAAAAGUGAUUAGAAAAUUUUUAAAAAGUGAUGGGCCAAUCCAAUCCCUGACUCCUCCCAGAUUUCCAGGAGCAGGAAACCACUCUUCAUUUGCAGGAUUUCAGGGGCUCUUUUCUCGGUUCUUUGAAAAUCUCCAUUUCUGAAAAUGUCCACAUGCUUUGGAUUUUGAAUCUGGUUUUCUGGGAUGAGACUGAAUCUCUGUGACCCAGAGAUUCAGUGGACUAAUGGAUUACCGAGGGUGGGGAUGGGGAGGGGUGGGUGGGGCCAGAAAAAAAAAAAUGAACUUUUUCUCUACUGUUUUUUUUUUUUCCAUCUUUUCAUUUAGUUCCAUUAUAAACAUAGUUCGGAGUUCCUGUCAUGGCACAGUGGUUAACAAAUCCAACUAGGAACCAUGAGGUUACGGGUUUGAUUCCUGACCUCGCUCAGUGGGUUAAGGAUCUGGUGUUGCCAUGAGCUGUGGUGUAGGUCACAGACAUGGCUCGGAUCCCAUGUUGCUGUGGCUCUGGCAUAGGCCAGCGGCUAGAGCUCAUUCGACCCCUAGCCUGGGAAUCUCCAUCUGCUUCAGCGGUUGCACCCCUAGAAAAGACAAACAGACCAAAAAAACCCAUAGUGUUCUAUGUGACUAAUUUUUAGUUGGAGCUCAAGGAGGAGUUUGAACAGACAUAACUACUUAAUCAUCACCCAGAGACAAGAUACAGAAUAUUUUCAUUACCCCAUAAAUUUCUCUUGAGACCCAUCCCAGUCUUUGUGUUGUCCAGGGCAGCUAUUAAAGUUAUCACAAUUGAUUACUUCUGCCCGGUCUCGAACUUAAUAUAACUGAAAUAAUAGACUAGUUUCCCUUUUGUCUAGGCUUUUUUUUUUUUUUUUCACCUACUAUGACAUCUGUGAGAUUUAUCCAUGUAUAUCUAAGGUAGCAAAUAUUACCAUGUUCCAAAGUGACUGUACCUAUUUACACUCCUUCCAGAAAGAGGGAAUGUUCCAGUUUCUCCAAAAGCUUGGCAGCACUUGGUAUUAUUUGUCUUUUUAAUUUUCACAAUUUGGGUGGGUAUAUGCUGUAUUAUUGUGGCUUAAUUUGGACAUGUCUGAUGAUUAAUAUUCAGGGCCCUUUUUCAUUUUCUUAUUUUCUCAAAUACCCUUUCUCGUGAAGUGAAUUCAGCUGUGUGUGUGUGUUUUUAAUAUGAUGAUUUAUCUUUCUUAUUGAUUUGUAGUAGUUCCUUAUGUAUUCCUGAUAGAUUCGUCAGACGUUUGUAGACAUUUUUUAUGUCGUGUAUUUUGGUCUUUCUUCUAUCCAUAGUGUCAUUUUAUGAAAAGAAAUUUGGUGAGUUUUCUAAAGUCAAAAUUACUCUUUGUCUUCCUUAUAUGGUUAGUGCUUUUUCUUUAUUCUACUUAGGAAAUAUGUGUCUAUAGUAAUGUAAGAGAGACGAUAUCCUAUGUUUUCUUCUCAAAGUUUGUUAUUGAUUUACUUUUUUCACUUAGGACCAUGAUUCAUCUUGAAUUGAUUUUUGUGUAUGAUGUGAGGUAGAGGUCAAAGUCUAUUUUUCCAUAUGGCUAACCAAUUGCUCCAACACCAUUUCCCCAACUGAAUUGCAGAAUCUUACCACAUUUUUCUUCUGCUGCUGCCAUAGCAAGUUUUUACCCUUUACUUUUUUUUUUUUUUUUCUUAAUUUACAGGAGGUCAUAGUGGAACAGACAGUUGCAUUCAGUCCUUUCAUCAUUCAUUUACUGGCUGCAUGAUUUUAAACAAAAUAAUUUACUCUCUUGGCCAGCAGUUUCUUUUGCUAAAAAUGAAGGCUUAUGACUGUAAUGCAUGACUUCUAACCACCUUCCAGCUUUUUUUUGUUUUGUUUUUCUAUAUGACCUUCAAUAACAAGUUGAUGGUGUAUGAAUACAUUAAGAUAUGAAAUUUCAGAAUAGAAGGGUUUAAAGUCUCACCUUGGUUUAAAUAGCACAAGUUCCAGUUAUUCAUUUAAAUCCUUUGGGCCUGGAUAUGCUUCAUAAUUUAAAGUCAUCAAGUUUUAUAAGGUUAAUUUGAUGCAUAUAUUGUGUAUUGUAUAAUUCUCACAGAGGGGUUGGCACUCUGCAGUGUAAUGAAACCUUAAUAUAUAUGCAAUGAAAAAUAUGAAAGGAGGUAAACACAAUAAAUAGUGAUAUUCAUUUGGGAAAUGUGCUAUUUAAAAAUAGUUUCAAAAUAUUUUUGAUUUUCAUACUUUUGGAUUGCAGCAUUGUGGAUAAGGGAUUGUGUACCUGUAGCAUAGUAGAUUUGAGAUACUUUUAACAAAACAAUGUCAUUAAUGAUAUUAAUUCUGGGCAAAAUCUUAGCUAAUUUUCUCCAUAUUUUACAGUGAAAAUUUGUUAUAGUUUUCUCUUUGCCUAUUGAUAUGUGCAUUAGCAAAAGCAGAAUGAAGCUAUAAAAAUAUCUAAC